UCCUAGACCAAGUUUUCAUGGUACUCCCU
rnacentral:piRNA from 1 species